UGAGGAAUAUUGGUCAAUGGGGGCAACCCUGAACCAGCCAAGUCGCGUGAAGGAUGAAGGUCUUAUGGAUUGUAAACUUCUUUUAUACAGGAAUAAAUUGGGGGACGUGUCCCCUUUUGCAUGUACUGUAUGAAUAAGGAUCGGCUAACUCCGUGCCAGCAGCCGCGGUAAUACGGAGGAUCCGAGCGUUAUCCGGAUUUAUUGGGUUUAAAGGGUGCGCAGGCGGGAUGUUAAGCCGGCGGUGAAAUUUUGCAGCUCAACUGUAAAAGUGCCUUCGAUACUGGCCUCCUUGAGUGUGGAUGAAGUAGGCGGAAUUUGUGGUGUAGCGGUGAAAUGCUUAGAUAUCACGAGGAACUCCGAUUGCGCAGGCAGCUUACUAAGCCACAACUGACGCUCAUGCACGAAGGCGUGGGGAUCAAACA
rnacentral:rRNA from 1 species